rnacentral:rRNA from 1 species
CCUACGGGAGGCAGCAGUGGGGAAUAUUGCACAAUGGGGGAAACCCUGAUGCAGCGACGCCGCGUGAGUGAAGAAGUAUUUCGGUACGUAAAGCUCUAUCAGCAGGGAAGAAAAUGACGGUACCUGACUAAGAAGCCCCGGCUGACUACGUGCCAGCAGCCGCGGUAAUACGUAGGGGGCAAGCGUUAUCCGGAUUUACUUGGUGUAAAGGGAGCGUAGACGGCAGCGCAAGUCUGGAGGGAAACCACAUGGCUUAACCAUGGAACUGCUUUGGAAACUGUGCAGCUAGAGUGCAGGAGAGGGAAGCGGAAUUCCUAGUGUAGCGGUGAAAUGCGUAGAUAUUAGGAGGAACACCAGUGGCGAAGGCGGCUUACUGGACUGUAACUGACGUUGAGGCUCGAAAGCGUGGGGAGCAAACAGGAUUAGAUACCCGGGUAGUC